rnacentral:tRNA from 1 species
CGGGGUGUAGUAUAGUGGUAGUACGCGGGCUUCGGGAGUCCGUAGUCUGAGUUCGAUUCUCAGCACCCCGACCA